GACGAACGCUGGCGGCGUGCCUAAUACAUGCAAGUUGAGCGAUGAAGAUUGGUGCUUGCACCAAUUUGAAGAGCAGCGAACGGGUGAGUAACGCGUGGGGAAUCUGCCUUUGAGCGGGGGACAACAUUUGGAAACGAAUGCUAAUACCGCAUAACAACUUUAAACAUAAGUUUUAAGUUUGAAAGAUGCAAUUGCAUCACUCAAAGAUGAUCCCGCGUUGUAUUAGCUAGUUGGUGAGGUAAAGGCUCACCAAGGCGAUGAUACAUAGCCGACCUGAGAGGGUGAUCGGCCACAUUGGGACUGAGACACGGCCCAAACUCCUACGGGAGGCAGCAGUAGGGAAUCUUCGGCAAUGGACGAAAGGCUGACCGAGCAACGCCGCGUGAGUGAAGAAGGGUUUCGGAUCGUAAAACUCGGUUGGUAGAGAAGAACGUUGGUGAGAGUGGAAAGCUCAUCAAGUGACGGUAACUACCCAGAAAGGGACGGCUAACUACGUG
rnacentral:rRNA from 1 species